ensembl:lncRNA
AUGCCCCGCAGCGCGCUCUGUGCCACUCUGUGCAGCCAGAGGUGGGUAGAGGAAGGCUUGUGGGCUGCAGCCUGGCAUGCCGUGACUCACCUCCCGAGGGCUGCGGCUGGCUGGGCUCUGAGCUGCCUCCUGUACUUCCUUCGCACCCUGACGAGCUUCCUGCUGCCCAGCAAGGGACCAGGCAGCCUGGCACCGCGGACAGAGCCCUGGGAGAGCAGCCCUGAGCAGAGGGUCUACUGGAGCCGAGGGGCAGGGCAGCCCCUCAUUACCGUCCAGACGGAUCCCUGUGCCUUCCAGCGCCGGCGGCACUUCAGCACAGCGGUGGUGGGACAGCGGAUUUAUGCCAUCGGGGGCUGGUAUCUGGACACGCUCCUGGCGCCGGACGGCGGCACGGCUCUGUACGCGGCUGUGGAGCGCUACGACCCCUGGAGCGACUCGUGGGCCUUCGUCUCCUCGCUGCCCCUCACCGACUUCACCUUCGCCCUCUCGCUGUCCCAUGACCUGCCGCUCUGCGCGGCUCACGCCGGCAGCAUCUAUGCCCUGGGCAGCGUGCAGAGGACGGGCGAGAAGCUGCUGCUGCGUUACGACGUCGGGGCAGACACAUGGCAGGAGCUGCUCCCAACGCUGACGCGAGCCGACGCUAACCUGCCCGGCCUCUAUUUCCUGGGGGGCUCAGAGCCCCUCUACGUGGUGGGGGGCAACGCCCAGGAGAACGUGGUGAUUUCCUUCAGCCCAGGGGCCCGGCUCUGGGGCCCUGCGCGGAGCCUGCCCAAGUGCACCCUGGCGGGGCAGGGCGUGGCCCUGGGCAGCCGCCUCUUCAUGGCAGCUCCGGAGCUGGGCACGGUGCUGGCACUGGAGCUGGGCUCGCUGUCCUGCUGCCCGCUGCCCGCCCCGCCCUUCCCCCUCUCCUAUGAGGCCCUCUGCUUCCUGCACUUCCCCGCGCCCCGUGGGGAGCUGGGCAGUGAGCAGGGGCAGGCGGGGGCCGGCGGGGGCACUGAGGGGCCCCUCCCCCUGGUGGGCAGGACCCCCUCGUGGUGAGCCCGGGGUUCACGCCCUGCCACGAGUGGUGUGUGGCACACGCCAGGGGAGGGGGUGCUCGUCUGCCCACUGAUGACGUGCUGGCACGUUGAGGACCCAGCACCGGUGCUGCGGCUGCUGCCCGGCGUUUGCACCUGCGGCGGGUUCUCCUCAGGCGAAGGAUGGACAGAGGCUGACACAGGAGCCUGGGGGGUCCCAAGCUCCAGGGACCCUUCGUCCGGAUCAGAGGCUGCAGUGGGGGAGGACUGGGGGGUCUCCAUAGUGCCAACCCAAUGGGGGGAGCCAACCUGGAUCCGGGGCUGGGCGUCCCUCACAAGCCUCCAGUUCCCAGGGGCACUGACCCAUGGGGGAGGAACUCGCAGGGACCCCAGGCGGGUGCUGCCUGUUCCUGGGAGGNCAUGGGGGAGGAACUCGCAGGGACCCCAGGCGGGUGCUGCCUGUUCCUGGGAGGGUAAGGGAGGGGCUAAGCCUGGUGCCUCCUUUGUUGCUGCCAUUCGCCCCCCCCGACCGCCUGCUCCCAGCCCCCUUCCUCCUUAUUUAUCAAGCUGCCCUUUCACCCACAUACCAGCUGCUAUUUCUGGGGCUGGCUCUGUGCCCAGGGCAAGCUCCCGGGGGGGCUCUGGGCUAGGCGGGGGGCAUCAUUGGGGGUGUCCCUGGGCUCAGCAGGCAGCACCGCAACCUUCCUACUGCCCAAAGCCAGGGCGGAGUGCCCCCACCCCUCCCCCACUUCUUCCAGCCCUCGCUGGGUGUGGGGUGGGGGCGGCUGGUGCCCUGUUCUCAUGGCCCAGCCUGGCAGGGAUGGGAUGGGGUGGGGUUGGGCUGUGAU